CCUACGGGAGGCAGCAGUAGGGAAUCUUCCACAAUGGGCGAAAGCCUGAUGGAGCAACGCCGCGUGGGUGAAGAAGGUCUUCGGAUCGUAAAACCCUGUUGUUAGAGAAGAAAGUGCGUGGGAGUAACUGUUCACGUUUCGACGGUAUCUAACCAGAAAGCCACGGCUAACUACGUGCCAGCAGCCGCGGUAAUACGUAGGGGGCAAGCGUUGUCCGGAUUUAUUGGGAGUAAAGGGAACGCAGGCGGUCUUUUAAGUCUGAUGGGAAAGCCUUCGGCUUAACCGGAGUAGUGCAUUGGAAACUGGGAGACUUGAGUGCAGAAGAGGAGAGUGGAACUCCAUGUGUAGCGAUGAAAUGCGUAGAUAUAUGGAAGAACACCAGUGGCGAAAGCGGCUCUCUGGUCUGUAACUGACGCUGAGGUUCGAAAGCGUGGGUAGCAAACAGGAUUAGAUACCCCGGUAGUC
rnacentral:rRNA from 1 species